AUUCCAGCUCCAAUAGCGUAUAUUAAAGUUGUUGCAGUUAAAAAGCUCGUAGUUGAACUUCUUGGCAUCCUUUAAGCUGGCUUCGGUCGUUUCAAGGGUGUCAAUCCGCUAGGGAACUACAUUCGCACUUCACUGUGCGGUGUAAGGAACUGGCAUUUUACUUAGAAAAAAUUAGAGUGUUCAAGGCAGGCUAUCGCCCUGAAUACACAAGCUUGGAAUAAUGAAAUAGGACUAUUUCCAUUUUAUUGGUUAUUGGAUUUAGUAAUGAUUAAUAGGGACAGUUGGGGGCAUUUGUAUUUAAUAGUCAGAGGUGAAAUUCUUGGAUUUAUUAAAGACAAACUUAUGCGAAAGCAUUUGCCAAGGAUGUUUUCAUUA
rnacentral:rRNA from 1 species